rnacentral:rRNA from 1 species
UACGUAGGUGGCGAACGUUAUCAGGAGUGACUGGGUGUAAAGGGUCCGUAGGCGGGAGGACAAGUCUGACGUGAAAGCGCCCGGCUCAACUGGGCGAGUGCGUUGGAAACUGUUUUUCUUGAAUCACGCAGAGGUCGGCGGAAUUCCCGGUGUAGUGGUGGAAUGCGUAGAGAUCGGGAGGAACCUCGAAAGCGAAGGCAGCCGACUGGGGGAUGAUUGACGCUGAGGGACGAAAGCGUGGGGAGCGAACAGG